rnacentral:rRNA from 1 species
UACGUAGGGGGCAAGCGUUGUCCGGAUUUAUUGGGCGUAAAGCGCGUGUAGGCGGCCACACAGGUCCGUUGUGAAAACUCGAGGCUUAACCUCGAGACGUCGAUGGAAACCGUAUGGCUAGAGUCCGGAAGAGGAAAGCGGAAUUCCCGGUGUAGCGGUGAAAUGCGUAGAGAUCCGGAGGAACACCGAAGGCGAAGGCAGUGUCCUGGCGAGUGACUGACGCUGAGGUGCGAAAGCCAGGGGAGCGAACGGG